rnacentral:lncRNA from 1 species
UUUUUUCCUCUUCCUCCUUCAGCAAAUUCUACCGGCGUGCACCACCACAACCGGCUAUUCUAUUUUCUCCUGUUAUUUUUUUCUCUCACAAGCCUACAUAUAUUUUUAAAUGUAGUGUAAACUUAUAGAGGUUUUUCUUUAUCUGGAUCUGUCUUUAUCAUCUUGGAAGUGCUGAGUCUAAACCCCAGAAGCACCGGGACAGUAUGAGCAUAUGGAAGCUGCUCCGAUGCCUCUCAGUGGUCAGGCCCUGUUGAGCUCAUUUCUAGGGUUUGGGACUGCCUUGAAGUUUGAGAAACUGAGCUUCCUGUGGACCUGACAGACUGGACUUUCCCGAUCUCAUCUGCCCUCAGAAGUUAAGCAUGGUUGAGCCUGAUGCGUUUGUGGCUAGAAGUCAUGUGACAUGUUGUAGCCAAUAGAUGAAGCCAACAGAUGAAUCACUCACUGUGUGACUCAUCCAGGAAAAGUUAUAAAAAGUAAUGGAUGCACUCAAGCCUUCUUGCUGGUUUGGUUCUUCUUUCUUCCUUUUGAAUGCUGAUGCCAUGCCUGGAGGAGCAGCAGCCAUCUUGAGACCUAAGAAGAAAGAAGAAAUUAGAUGGAGUCUGAGUUCUUGAAGGUGUUCCUAGGCUGCUACAUCAGACUUGAGCUGCCUACUCUGGACUUGCAGUACUGAUAGUAAACUCCUAUAUGUUAAAACUACUGCCAUCACAGUUCCUUACUGAAGGCAUCCUGGAUGCUAUACUAUACAAGUACCCCACAAUAUAUGUUCCCACUGACUUUUUAUGUAUUUCCCAACUACUUUAUUUUGUUUUACUCUGGAAAUUAUUAGUCAAAGGGAAGGUGGGAUUAUGGGAGGUAUUUUUGUUUGUUUUCUUUUGUUUUUUUGGCUCUGGAUGUGUCUGUCAUUCAUGGCAUAGAGGUGUGUUGUUGUAACCACAGGUGAGUUAGGAUGACUUACAGCCCACUUAAGGAGCUAAGUCUGUUACUGCCCAUUAAGAGUGACCAUGUACAGAAUGGGUCCACAUGAAGAGAUGUCUGUGAUCUGAGCUUUACAGAAAAUCUGAGGAGGGAAAAUGACAGACAAAAGAAGGGUCUGAAACUGCUCUUGCCUAUGUAGCUUCUGCCAGGGGCUCCUUGUUCUCUGGGGCUACAAAGCCUAGCCCAAGCUCUGCCAACCACCACACAACCGGCAUUUAGGAUGGAUACCUCUUUGCAGUAGGAGAUACCCUGCACAUAGUAGGAUGUUUAGCAGCAAUCCAGGAGCCUACCCACUGGAUGACAGUAAAUCUUCUGCUUCUGGGUUAUAACAAUUAAAAUGUCUCCAAACGUUGCCAUAUUCUUCCUGGGGGAAAGGAACAAAAACUGGCUCCAGUUGAGAAGCAACUGGCAUAAGAAACAGCCCAAUUACAAAAAAAAAAAAAAAAAAAGAGUGAAAAUGCUGGUUCUGUU